GUGGUGACCUGGGAAUCAAUGUGUGAGGUGGUGCUAUGUAGCAGGAACCCCUCUUGCUUUGCAAAUAGUUUUUUGUUUGUUUUCCUUUUUGCCCAAUAGAGCCCUGCUCUACUGACCCUUCAAUGUGCCCGUGUGCCUAAAUAUUCCUGGUCGUGUGAAAAGAACCCAGGUAUUAGCUGAACUAAGGAGCACAAUUCUGCAACAUUUUGGCACCCAAACACGGGGCUUGAGAAAUGAAUGCAAUUGGAGAAACUGGUUGUUUUACCAGGCGUUGAUUGGAAAUGUGUGCUUCCCUUUAAGCAGUCAAGCUCAACUUGCAGAACUGAUGGGAACCCCUUGGGAAAACUGGCCUCAAAUGUUUGUCUACACAGUCCACAUACAGGGUUCUUAACCUGCGAUGCUUUUGUGUAGAUGAGGGAAACUUCCCAGGGCUUGUCUGGGUAUGCCCACAGUGGACUGGAGCCCAAAAUGCACACUGGAGGAAGUGGAUGGAGCCACGUGGAUGUCAUGCCUUAUGCAGGGGAGGAGCCUGCUCUCUUCAGCUCCUGUGGUAAUGUGGGAAUCGAUCUGUGAGAUUCCAUGAACUCCAAGUUAAGAACACAUGAUCUGGAUGUUUGACAAAAUACCUUCAGCAGGAAUAAUGAAAGCCCUGACAUUUCUGUGUGCAUAAAAACUGGAAAACUUUAAAAGUAAUAAAUCACCAAGUCUUUAUAAAAA
rnacentral:lncRNA from 1 species